GACAACAGAGAAAUUUGGUAGAAUUCUUUAAGAGAAGAGAACUUUUUAGCAAAUUCUUUGAGAGAAGAGAACUUUGUAAAACUAUGAAGGAAUGCUUGAUUGAUUUUAUACU